rnacentral:rRNA from 1 species
CCCUUAGAUGUCCUGGACCGCACGCGCGCUACACUGAGUGUCUGAGAUACGAGUCUGCCUGGUCCGGCAAGGUCUAGGUAAUCGCUAAAAGACACAUCAUGCUUGGGAUAGAUUAUUGCAAAUAUUAAUCUUGAACGAGGAAUUCCUAGUAAGCGCAAGUCAACAGCUUGCGUUGAUUACGUCCCUGCCCUUUGUACACACCGCCCGUCGCUACUACUGAUUGGAUGUUUAAGCGAGGUUCUCGAACUGCUAGCGACUUAGCUUCGGUGAGGUCGCAGUGUGGGAAGUGAACCUAGCUUUGGUGUCUAGAGGAAGUAAAAGUCGUAACA